rnacentral:tRNA from 1 species
AUUUUCUUAGUAUAUUUAGUACUGUUGACUUCCAAUCAACAAGACCCAGACAAAUACUGGGAGAAAAUA